rnacentral:rRNA from 1 species
UACGUAGGGAGCGAGCGUUAUCCGGAUUUAUUGGGCGUAAAGCGCGCGUAGGCGGGCUAUUAAGUCAGGUGUUAAAGCCCGGGGCUCAACCCCGGCCCGCACCUGAAACUGGUAGUCUUGAGUCUGGUAGGGGAAAGUGGAAUUCCCAGUGUAGCGGUGAAAUGCGCAGAUAUUGGGAAGAACACCAGUGGCGAAGGCGGCUUUCUAGGCCACGACUGACGCUGAGGCGCGAAAGCUAGGGGAGCAAA